rnacentral:rRNA from 1 species
GACGGAGGGGGCUAGCGUUGUUCGGAAUUACUGGGCGUAAAGGGCGCGUAGGCUGCCAUGUGUGUCAGGUGUGAAAUCCCAAGGCUUAACCUUGGAACUGCAUCUGAAACUGCAUGGCUUGAGUGAGUAAGAGGCGGACGGAAUUCCGAGUGUAGCAGUGAAAUGCGUAGAUAUUCGGAGGAACAUCGGUGGCGAAGGCGGUUCGCUGGUACUCUACUGACGAUGAGGCGCGAAAGCGUGGGGAGCAAACAGG